GUCCGACUUCACCACCCCAGGAGAUUGCGCGAGCUUCGCUGCGCACCACGCUGUGUCCUACAUCAACGUGGGCGUCUUCCACGCGUUUGACGAGGCGGGCGUGGAGGUGUGCUGUGGCGGGCACCCGUCCGUGGAACUGCCAGGGUAUGCGCCCUCGGACCCCGACCUCAACGCCUCCUACCCCUAUUGCUGCCGGCCGCCUUGUGAGAUGGCGCGCCCUUGGGAGCCUAGCCGAGCCUGCUGAGUUCAGGCCCGAUCCCCAACGAGACACCCAAAGGGUAGCAGUCAGGCUUUGCUUGGUGUUGUGCCUGCGUGAGGCUUGGCACUUAUUCUGGCCGGGCCUUGUGAUAUCUGCGAGACUCUAGGACACUAUAUGGUAUUCUCCUUUCUGUGUGAGGAGGUGUCUCCCUUCUGUGUCAUUCAUAUCCGGACUCCAUUUAAAGUUUACAAUAAAUGUUUGGGGUGGGCUCGCCGAUCACACUUCUCUUAGGCAAGUCCAUACCCCAGGACUGUGCUUGGAGGUCCUGGGUCGAAUGGGUAAGAGCAGAACGCCUAGCAAAGGUGAUUUCCUGUAGAGGACCUCUCUGGCUGAGAGUGCAAAGCAGUUGGAACUGUAGAACAGAAGAACAACCAACAGCAACACUUUGUACCCGGAUGUGCCUGCUUCUGUCGACACUUUCUUACUGUAAAGCUCUCCAUAAACAGUGAAAAUGUUUGGUAAAUUUAUUGCAAUUUGACAUUGGUGAGUUCCUUUAUUAAAUUGAUUGCUAUGUUAUUGGAGAAUGUCCAUCGGCUUGGAAUUGGAGGAUGUCUACAUGCAAAUCAGCAUGGGGGAGAGUGGCUGAAUUGGGACAGACAAACUCUGAGUUAGAACAGCUGUGUUUUGCGAGCUGGUUGACUAGGUCCAACCUGUCUCUGAGCUAACAGCUGUGUGGAGAGACACUGAUGCCAGACCGCAUUUCAGUUUUUGGAAGCCGUUUGUGUGGUUUCUACUGCAAAGCAGUAGGCUUUAUUUUUGGUUAAUACAUAUGAACAGUUUAAUCCUAUUUUAAAAAAAAUCAAAGUCUUAGUUUUUCUGCGAAGUAAUUUUCCUGUUAACUCAAUAAUCUGGUGAUUUUAACUAUAUAGCAUUUCAUUUAAAUACACCACUCUAAUAGCCUUAAUGAAUGUGGAGGACAUACCUUAAGUGAGUAUGAUAUAUGCGUGUAGUCAUUUACACACAAUAUGAUGUGAGC
rnacentral:lncRNA from 1 species